rnacentral:lncRNA from 1 species
UGGUAACUUUAAAAAAUAAAAAAAGCAUAUGACUUGAAGAUAAAGGCAAAAGCAUACUCCUUUGUCAUGCAUCAUUAAGGUGAUUGAUGCUUUAUAAUAGUAAAAUUGUACUUACUAUCAAUCUCCUUGUGCCGUGUGGCAUAAGGUUCUCCUUUUUUUUUUUGGUUUGUGAGGGUGUGGGAUUGUUGAGCCUUGUUAUUCUUCAAUUGCUGUUACUAU